rnacentral:misc_RNA from 1 species
AAGUCGUAACAAGGUCUCCGUUGGUGAACCAGCGGAGGGAUCAUUACAGAGUCGUAAAACACUCCCAAACCCAUGUGAACUUACCAUUGUUGCCUCGGCGGACCUACCCCGUAGCCAGCUACCCUGUAGCGACCUACCCUGUAGCCCGCCGGUGGACCAUUAAACUCUUGUUAUUCUAUGGAUAUCUGAGCGUCUUAUUUAAUAAGUUAAAACUUUCAACAACGGAUCUCUUGGUUCUG